UACGGGGGGGGCAAGCGUUGUUCGGAAUUACUGGGCGUAAAGGGCUCGUAGGCGGCCAACUAAGUCAUACGUGAAAUCCCUCGGCUUAACCGGGGAACUGCGUCUGAUACUGGAUGGCUUGAGAUUGGGAGAGGGAUGCGGAAUUCCAGGUGUAGCGGUGAAAUGCGUAGAUAUCUGGAGGAACACCGGUGGCGAAGGCGGCACCCUGGCCCAACACUGACGCUGAGGAGCGAAAGCCAGGGGAGCAAACGGG
rnacentral:rRNA from 1 species